UGUAUGAAGACAGCUCCUUGACGCACGAGCCUAAACUGCAUGUUACUCCUGGCCCGCAUGAGUAUAAACUGUGCACGGCACCCAAUCUCAAACACAUGUUGAUCAUAUGAACUACGUUUUGACUUGAUCCCUUUCAAAAGGGUACGUAGGCAGCUUAGAUAAUUUCUAAGUUCAGUCAUAAGUUGUGUUUGACUCUUUUCAAUUUAUAUCAUCAAAGUUAUGAUUUAAGUUGAUUAUGUGAAGCCGAAUAUGUCUCAAAUUGGGAAGAAAAUCAAGCCAUCAAAAGAAGCACAAGCAUUUGGAGAAGAUGUCAAAAUAUCCAUCACAAACCAAAUAAGAAUCAUCAAGAGAGAAAUGAUAGAAACUGCGGUUUGCACCAAUACUAAGCAAAUGGGUCUUGAUCCUCCAAAGUUCUCUGAGCAGAGAUCAAAAGUGACUCUGAAGUCUUCAAAAUUCCGCAGCAUUUCCUCAUCAACAUGUGCAACUUUAUGUUUGUCAAACUCUCUUUUGAAUUAUGGGAUUGCACCUCGGGCAAUAUGAAAGGAGGCACUAUCUUGCUUGAAGAACAAUGUCAUCUUCAUCUCCCACAUCUCUAUCAUAGCAAGCUCUUCCUUGAUCAAAGCAAUUCUGACGAUGGCUUCAUUCUCCUUGGCUUAAGCAUCAAGAAGAGAAGACUCAAUCUUCUCGAGUCGCUGUGCAGAAUUCUCCCAACUUCGUGAGAUGCCAAACAUGACAACCUCACUCAAACCAGACUCGAACAAUCC
rnacentral:lncRNA from 1 species